UCCGGUGGUGAUGGCGGGGAAGUAACACCUGUUCCCAUCAUCCCGAACACAGCAGUUAAGCUCUUCAGCGCUGAUGGUACUGCAUGGGAAGCUAUGCGGGAGAGUAGGACGCCGCCGGAA
rnacentral:rRNA from 1 species